rnacentral:lncRNA from 1 species
GCAUAUCACAUCAAAUACAAUACAUCAUCCACCGACUCCACGCAUUAAGGUUCAACGCCUAACAUGGGCACAUCAAAAUAAUUUUACAUGUGCACAACAAAAUACUUCUGCAAAAACACCUGCAAGGUUCUAGUAUACAAGGUUCAACGCAUUAAGGUUCAUCAUCUUCCGCACAAUAUGCUCUUGCCAUUGCCGCCUGCAAGAAGAAAAUAAUGGUAAAGCUUUCAGACCAAGGAAACUAGUAAAUUGCACGCACGAUAACCAAUGAUAAAACAGUAGAAAAUUGUUGUUGCAUAUACUUUGCUGCUUUGCUGAUAAAACAGUAGAAAAUGGUACGGUGUGGGUUAGUUUCAACAAACUGCUACUUUCUUGCAUUCCAAACAAGUCGAGACAUGCUAGCGUGACAGCUGAUGCAUAUACUUUGUAGACUUCGGACUAGAGUAUAUAGAUUCUAGUAUACAUGUUGCAAAAUAAUAUGUAUUAUUGUAUGAAACAAAAAAUAUAAUGUUGCAUAUUACUGGAAUAUAGUAUCCUUGUGAAUUGUGAGUGUGAAUAUGUAUAAUUAUUACUGUUGUACGUGUGUGUAUAUCGAUGGCGUGACGCUACUUGUUUGCACUAUAGUAUAGCUACGUGGACGCAUGUAGUAUAUGUUUGUGUACCUGAUACUUCUUGUUGUAUGCACUCAUUUUUGAUCCAAUUGCUAAUGAACAGUAAAUGUGAGUGUCCGACAUGCAUAUUCAUAGCCAUUCAUUGAUGUUCUAUGUGUACUUAAAAAUGGAGUAUACUGUAUGAAGUAUAUUACUUUAAAAAAGGUAUAAAGUAUAUGGUCUUUCAUAAGAGAAUUGGGAGUAUAUAGUAUUUUAUAAAGAAAGUAUUAUGUUUAUUUUUCGCAAUAAAAGGAGUAUAUGUAUGAAUAAUUAUGAUGUACUUAGUAUGUAGUAUGUAGGGGUUUUCGCAAAAGAAAAGCAGUAUGAGGUAUCUGAAAAAGAAGUAUGAAGUAUGUCCAAAUUAGGAGUAUACCAAAACAGUAUGAGUUUUGCAGCCUAAUUAUCAUUUUUUUUCUCAUAUACAUAUUUAUUUAGUAUAAUAACUAAAUGUAUGUUGGAACACCAACUAUUUCUUGUAUUAGAUAUAGCACCAAAUCUAUUUCAUGGUAUUAAAAUUAUGUAAUGCUUCAGCCCCAGCUAACCAAGAUAUCUAGUAGUCUCCGUACUCAAGUUAGAAUAUAUUUGAUACGGAGUCGUCAAAUGCACUCUCUACUACACAAUCCUUUUAUUCAAGUAAUCUCUUUCGUAGAAUAACUAAAUGUAUGUUGGAACACCAACUAUUUCUUCUAUUAGAUAUAGCACCAAAUCUAUUUCAUAGAUUUUACUAUUUUGUGAAAUAAUGUGAUAUCCACGGCAUGGAAAGAAAGCCAGUCUUAUUGGAUAGAAUUCAAGAUGCAUUUUCCCUUUUAUGUCAAGUGGACGUAAGAAUUUCUAGUUCGUGUGUAUCAUGUAUAACUCUAAUUAAGUAUACCUGAACAUUCCAAAGGUGAACUUUUAUAUUAUAUUGGCAAACUUUAUAUUAUUUUUUUGUUAAAAUCCUAUAAGAUAAUGCACCCAGUUAAUCAAUCCACGAAGGUUAUUCAGAGAAACAUAGGUAGUAAUAUCAUCGAUACAGGGGACAUAUCCUUUAGUUACAUGGUGAUAUUAUAUGCAUAGGUGCAACAUGCAAUUGAUAGAGAUAUUAAUCCAUCUAGAAAUCUAGGAAGAUAUGCUUAAGCACUCAUCAACAAAUGACUCUAAUAUUCGAUCCUACUUAAAAAAGAGUUAUCUGUACAUGUAUUGAUUAAGUAGAAGUAAAUACUAACAAAUUCAUGCAGAAAUUUACUUUGGCCAACGCAAAUCCGACUCAACUGGAUACAUACAACUAAAUCAAACAUUUGUCUCUUAAGGGGCUGUUUGGAUUGUGACUAUCUUUGCCAUAUCUUACCACAUUAUUUUUUCCAUACUUGCCACACUUGCCUUACUUGAGUUGCUCAAAUUGUUAGCCACACAUUGGCUUGCCUAAGGGAAUCUUGCCACACUUUUUGUGUCUAUGACAUGUGGGGUUUAGUACUCAUUAAAAAAUGCUUGCCUUAGGUGUGGCUAGAACCAAACACCCACCUAACUUGGUCAAACUUGACUAAGGUAAGUUGUGGUAAAGUGUGGCAAGGUGUGGCUAGGAACCAAACAACCCCUAAGUAAUCAUUGAUCCCAAUGCAGCGAUCACACCUCCAAUUCAAUUGUCCUGCACCGACAUUUUUCUCACCCACCUUACUUGACAUUAACUGUACCUGCAAGGCGACAACUACAUUAGCUUUCUCCUUGAGCCGUUCACAAUGGUGUUCCACUGAUUAUUCAAGAGGCAGGAUCACAUAUACACAGUGACAUGAGUGACUUUCGUGAUAAAUUAGAACAACCAUAUAAGUUUUCUUCCUGACAUACAGUUUGGUGAUAAUCUAAUUAUGGAACCAAUCUGCAUGUGUCCAGGGCUAGAUCCUUUGGCUCAAAGCCAGAAAGAAAGGCGACAACUAAUGAGAAUAACAGAUUAAGAACUUCCUAAAUUGACUACAUGCUCUGCGAUGCUCAUGUUACAUAUCAUUCAUAAUUACAAGCUUUGGGAUGGAUCCCACAGUCCCUAAUAGUCCAUCUUAAUGGACAUGUGAGCGCACCAUUGUAGAGCCUUAUGAAAUGGCGUGCUUUAAAAAAUGAAAUGGCGGAUUUAGCAUUGAUUGACAUCUGUUACUUGUGCACAUGUGUGUGAAUAAAAUAGCACCUAAAUUAAGCCAGAUAAAUAUGAAAGAAUUUGUAGUAGCUCCUUACCUUGCUGGCACAAAUAAUCGAUUGACACUGAUUAUUAUAAAAAUAGGUAUACCUCAACUAAAACUGUAGCUAAAACAACUUCAUGCACCAUAUAACUACACUAAGACAAUUAAAUGGUGAAACUUCCACAUUAAGACAAUUACUUUGCUUUAAAUUAGGAUCCAAAAAAAUGUAUAUAUGUUCAGUUAACAUGAGAGAUUAUUUGUGUAAAAGAGUCCAAUUUAUACCAUGUAACUUACAUGAUAGAUGAGAUGAGUAUAAAUAUGUACCAUCGUAAAAUUAUACUGAAGAUUAGGCUAUCUACAAUGCAAAAAAAAGAUUAAAUUAAUAUCAGUUACGAACGAUACUGAAAGCCAUGUCAUGAUAUUUUAAAAAUAAAUUAACCUUGAGCAGCGACUCCCUAAAAACAUGAGCAUCAGAUAGCAAGAUUAAAUCAUCGCACAGGCUGUCGAUAAUUUUGCAGCAUCAACUCGAGUUAUUACCAAAACCAGCCCAAUGAAGUUGGUUGCCUCUUUAUAGACAGUGUAGAAUUAUAUUAUAGAAUUUUCUCACCUACAAUCAUGGUAUUCUGCUUCUAUGGCAAAGAUCUGUUCAACUUAGCUAUCUCACACAUAGGGGUGAGGGAUUUGUAUCUAAUAUUGACGUUAGCAAUUUCUACAAAGUGGUAAGUGCUAUGUCCGUCAUGCCAGGUUUAUUAGAUAAAAAGCCGACUCUCUGACCUGGUAGUAUGAGCAACUGUAACUUCACCAAUAUAAGAAGAUGGCAGCAUACCGGCUAUGGCACCCAGUGGAUGGAGCUUGGGUGGCCGGCCAGCAUGAAAAACGGACCAACUCCAUGCGACCGAAUUAUGGAGCUUGGGUGUCCCUCCAUGCCGCAACUGCCCAUGAGGCAUGAGUUGUUGCUUUAAACAGCAAGCACUAACAUUGUUUUUAGCCCUGUGAAAUUUAAAUUGAAACCUGG